AUGCGCAGUCUUAAGUCAAUCAUCUUUAUUCCUAGAUGAAUAGGGUUAGAAGGAAUAGCAAGAAUGAGCAAUAAUGAUCAGCAAAUAUAUAAUAUCCAAACCAACAAUAAUUCAAACAGUAUGUAAAACCUAACAAUGAUAUCAAGAUAAUGAUACCAACACAAUAUGAUUUAAACAAAACAGUUUCUCCUCUAUGGAAUUGGAACCAGAUAAGACACUACGAGCUAAGUUGGGUGAUCAGCCCACGACAUAGCUCUGAACCCGCAUAUCCAAUACGAGUUCUCAAAUAUAAAGGAUCUUAGGAACACUUUGGCCUUCAAUAAUUCAAUUGGGACCGGCGCCUCGGUCAUAAAACAUUUUCAUCCAAUUCCCUUUUUAAAACAAAUACAUCGAAUCAUUUUUCAUUUUAAAACCAAGGUUCAAAAUCUAUAAGCAUUAAUGAUUAUAAACCAAAUAUUCAUUUCAACACCUUAGCAUUAGAGUUCUACUAAUUAGGUAUUCUUUAUCAAGGGUAUAGGUUACUGAAUCAAGUGUAUCAAUGUAUUUUAUAAUUAUGGCAGGGGAGGGUGUAUGAUGAUAACCAAGGGAAAUAUUCAUUUCAACACCUUAGCAUUAGAGUUCUACUAAUUAGGUAUUCUUUAUCAAGGGUAUAGGUUACUGAAUCAAGUGUAUCAAUGUAUUUUAUAAUUAUGGCAGGGUAGGUUGUAUGAUGAUAACUAAGGUCUUUCAAUAAAUGGGGUUUCGUUUCUGGGUUAGGAACAAACAAGUGAACUAGUUUUUAAGCAAGAACACAAUCUGUUGUAGUUAAAAGGGAGGUAAGAAAACAAGGUUCUAAGCUCAAUACUAAGUAACUAGCAGUUGAAGAAGAUAAGGAUGAGAAUUAAAUUGAUACAUUUGCAAGAUAUAAGUGACAAAAGGUAUUCCAUUUCAUACUUGGGUGAUUCCAGAAUACUCGUAAUUAGUAGAAGUCUAAUUUUAUAAGGAGUUUUGCAAUAUUCAAAGCAUAACAAAAGCAUUGCAGGAGCAAAAUCUUUUAAAGAAAAGUAGGUUGGAUAUAUACUUGCCUUAAGUCCAGUGUCUAGCUCAGAUUUCUAAUGACACUAUGUAGUGCCAUAUCAUUCCUUUCUGCGGCCAGCUUCUGACAAGAUUCUAUCUAUAGCAAUCUCUGCGUAACUUCAACUUGCAACACAACUUAGCUAUUUCUGAAUAACCAUUUCAAUCACUUCUCUAUCAAUACCUCAAUCAACAUCUC
rnacentral:lncRNA from 1 species